GAUGAAGAACGUAGCGAAAUGCGAUAAGUAAUGUGAAUUGCAGAAUUCAGUGAAUCAUCGAAUCUUUGAACGCACAUUGCGCCCGCCAGCAUUCUGGCGGGCAUGCCUGUUCGAGCGUCAUUUCAACCCUCGAGCCCCCCCGGGGGCCUCGGUGUUGGGGGACGGCACACCAGCCGCCCCCGAAAUGCAGUGGCGACCUCGCCGCAGCCUCCCCUGCGUAGUAGCACACACCUCGCACCGGAGCGCGGAGACGGUCACGCCGUAAAACGCCCAACUUCUUAGAGUUGACCUCGGAUCAGGUAGGAAUACCCGCUGAACUUAAGCAUAUAAAUAAGCGGAGGA
rnacentral:misc_RNA from 1 species